ensembl:snRNA U6 U6 spliceosomal RNA
GUGCUUGCUAUAGUGCAGCACAUAUACUAAAAUUGGAACGAUACAGAGAAGAUUAGCAUGGCCCCUGCACAAGGAUGACAUGCAAAUUCGUGAAGCAUUCCAUAUUUUU